CAGUCGCCGCGGUAAGACGGAGGGUGCUAGCGUUGUUCGGAAUCACUGGGCGUAAAGGGCGCGUAGGCGGCCUGUUAAGUCGGGUGUGAAAGCCCGGGGCUCAACCCCGGAACUGCAUCCGAGACUGGCAGGCUUGAGACCGGGAGAGGAGGGUGGAAUAUCCAGUGUAGAGGUGAAAUUCGUAGAUAUUGGAUGGAACACCGGUGGCGAAAGCGGCUCUCUGGCCCGGAUCUGACGCUGAGGCGCGAAAGCGUGGGGAGCAAACAGGAUUAGAUACCCCCGUAGUCCCUGUCUCUUAUAC
rnacentral:rRNA from 1 species